UCUUUCAUGAGAGUUUGAUCCUGGCUCAGGACGAACGCUGGCGGCGUGCCUAAUACAUGCAAGUCGAACGCACAACGAAGGAGCUUGCUUCUUCCGCGUGAGUGGCGAACGGGUGAGUAACACGUGGGAAACCUGCCCUUUAGCGGGGGAUAACAUUCGGAAA
rnacentral:rRNA from 1 species